UUCUUCAUUAGAUAUUAAUUCUUUCACUAACAUAUAACACAUAACAUUAAAAAAAUAUGUGAAGUAGGCCCUUAAUGCUUGUACGUACACUAUAUAAUAAUAAUUAUUUUUUAUAUAACCCCUUUGUUUCAUCCGCUAACAAAACCACAAGAACUAAGCAAAUGUAAAAGCUCAUUUCGUUAUUUAUAUAAAUCUAUAUGUGACCAGCAACUCAUUAUUCAUUUCUCAUCUUCUUCCUCUCUUCUUCUUUUUCUUCUUGUUUCGAAUUCUUAACUCUUCCCUUUGUUUUAUGGGUGUUUUCGCAAAUUCUUGAAGUUGAAGGGAGGGGAGAUGAUGAUGGCAAAUUCAGAAACUGGAGGAAGAGCUGAAGGCCAAGUACAAGUUUUAAUCAAGAAUUUGUCUUGGGAUCCAUGGCCUAAACAAUAUUAUUUGAUGUUGCAACCAUAACUAUGAGGAAGGGUUAACCUCUAGGCAAGUCUAAAGCUUGGCUUUUUUUUUAAUUAUCCUCCAUUUUCUUUGUUUCCUAUUUUUCUCUUUCCUUUUGUUUCUUAGGUUUAAUUUUCUAGUUUGUUUGUGUGCCAACAAGAAAAUGGAGGAUAAUAUGAAUAACGUAUAGGAAAUCUUGAAUUAAUCUUUUAUCAAAAGAUUUUCAGGGUUUCUCUUUCUUUAAUUGUUGCCAUAUUACUGUCUUUUGUGGGCAGCAAUAACCAUGCAUAAUUAAACAAAUUAAUUUUCUUUUUGGCUGUUUUUGUUCUUGUGAUUGCUUCUCAUAUAUUGCAACCACAGAAUAUCUCUGUAAAACACAAAUUAGCUCGUGUUUUUAACUCCUUCCUUGUUCAUUUAAGAUUCAUUAUGAUUGAAUCUGUAGAAUUUCCAAAAGAAAGUAUGGAUUCUUUAUUAUUCAAGAGAUAUAUAUCUGCAGCUUCAUUUCUUUAUAUAAGUCUCACAUAUAUAUAUAUAUAUAUAUAUAUAUAUAUACACACACAAAAGAAUUGCAUAGACUUUAAUUAACAACAAAUGGAAGGUGCUUAGGCUUUCUGUUAUUUCAUAUUUGAAGAAUAAGAACAGUGAAAAAUGCAGGUUCUGAAAUCAAUUCCGACUCUUUUUAAGGUUCUGUAAUUUCAAUUUCAAGCUUCUAAAGCCAAAAACUCUCCAUUUAUUUUAAAAGUUAUAAUUUAGUUUAGUUUAAUUCUUCUUAACGCUUGUUAAUUAACGUGACGGCAAACAUUGUGCAUGUUCACACAUCAAAAUCAGAGAUCUAUGUAGUUUGAUCCUGAUCCGAAUUACAUCAGCUUAAGAUUCAAGAAUCUUGCUCUCAA
rnacentral:lncRNA from 1 species